rnacentral:rRNA from 2 species
CGAGCGGCGAACGGGUGAGUAACACGUGAGCAACCUGCCCCUGACUCUGGGAUAAGCGGUGGAAACGCCGUCUAAUACCGGAUACGACCCGCCACCUCAUGGUGGAGGGUGGAAAGUUUUUCGGUCAGGGAUGGGCUCGCGGCCUAUCAGCUUGUUGGUGGGGUAACGGCCUACCAAGGCGAUUACGGGUAGCCGGCCUGAGAGGGCGACCGGCCACACUGGGACUGAGACACGGCCCAGACUCCUGCGGGAGGCAGCAGUGGGGAAUAUUGCGCAAUGGGCGAAAGCCUGACGCAGCGACGCCGCGUGGGGGAUGACGGCCUUCGGGUUGUAAACCUCUUUUACCACCAACGCAGGCUCCCAGUUCUCUGGGGGUUGACGGUAGGUGGGGAAUAAGGACCGGCUAACUACGUGCCAGCAGCCGCGGUAAUACGUAGGGUCCGAGCGUUGUCCGGAAUUAUUGGGCGUAAAGAGCUCGUAGGCGGCGUGUCGCGUCUGCUGUGAAAGACCGGGGCUUAACUCCGGUUCUGCAGUGGAUACGGGCAUGCUAGAGGUAGGUAGGGGAGACUGGAAUUCCUGGUGUAGCGGUGAAAUGCGCAGAUAUCAGGAGGAACACCGGUGGCGAAGGCGGGUCUCUGGGCCUUACCUGACGCUGAGGAGCGAAAGCAUGGGGAGCGAACAGGAUUAGAUACCCUGGUAG